CACGUAGGCGGAUUAGAAAGUCAGAGGUGAAAUCCCAGGGCUCAACCUUGGAACUGCCUUUGAAACUCCUAGUCUUGAGGUCGAGAGAGGUGAGUGGAAUUCCGAGUGUAGAGGUGAAAUUCGUAGAUAUUCGGAGGAACACCAGUGGCGAAGGCGGCUCACUGGCUCGAUACUGACGCUGAGGUGCGAAAGCGUGGGGAGCAAACA
rnacentral:rRNA from 1 species